UACGGGGGGGGCAAGCGUUGUUCGGAAUUACUGGGCGUAAAGGGCUCGUAGGUGGCCAACUAAGUCGGACGUGAAAUCCCCAGGCUCAACUUGGGAACUGCGUCCGAUACUGGAUGGCUUGAAUUCGGGAGAGGGAUGCAGAAUUCCAGGUGUAGCGGUGAAAUGCGUAGAUAUCGGGAGGAACACCAGUGGCGAAGGCGACUACCUGGCCUGUUCUUGACGCUGAGGCGCGAAAGCUAGGGGAGCAAACGGG
rnacentral:rRNA from 1 species